GACGAACGCUGGCGGCGUGCUUAACACAUGCAAGUCGAACGGUAAGGCUCCAGCUUGCUGGGGUACACGAGUGGCGAACGGGUGAGUAACACGUGGGUGACCUGCCCUGCACUUCGGGAUAAGCCUGGGAAACUGGGUCUAAUACCGGAUAGGACCGCACCGUGAGGGUGUGGUGGAAAGUUUUUUCGGUGUGGGAUGGGCCCGCGGCCUAUCAGCUUGUUGGUGGGGUAAUGGCCUACCAAGGCGGCGACGGGUAGCCGGCCUGAGAGGGUGGACGGCCACAUUGGGACUGGGACACGGCCCAGACUCCUACGGGAGGCAGCAGUGGGGAAUAUUGCACAAUGGGCGGAAGCCUGAUGCAGCGACGCCGCGUGGGGGAUGACGGCCUUCGGGUUGUAAACUCCUUUCACCAUCGACGAAGGGUUUCUGGCGGUAGAUGGAGAAGAAGCACCGGCUAACUACGUG
rnacentral:rRNA from 1 species